rnacentral:rRNA from 1 species
UACGAAGGGGGCUAGCGUUGCUCGGAAUCACUGGGCGUAAAGCGCACGUAGGCGGAUUGCUAAGUCAGGGGUGAAAUCCUGGAGCUCAACUCCAGAACUGCCUUUGAUACUGGCGACCUUGAGUCCGGGAGAGGUGAGUGGAACUGCGAGUGUAGAGGUGAAAUUCGUAGAUAUUCGCAAGAACACCAGUGGCGAAAGGCGGCUCACUGGCCCGGUACUGACGCUGAGGUGCGAAAGCGUGGGGGAGCAAACAGG